rnacentral:rRNA from 1 species
GGUCAAGCUACAAAGAGCUUAUGGUGGAUACCAGCCCCACAAAAGANAA